rnacentral:rRNA from 1 species
CCUACGGGUGGCAGCAGUGAGGAAUAUUGGUCAAUGGACGAGAGUCUGAACCAGCCAAGUAGCGUGAAGGAUGACUGCCCUAUGGGUUGUAAACUUCUUUUAUAAAGGAAUAAAACGAGGCACGUGUGCCUUUUUGCAUGUACUUUAUGAAUAAGGAUCGGCUAACUCCGUGCCAGCAGCCGCGGUAAUACGGAGGAUCCGAGCGUUAUCCGGAUUUAUUGGGUUUAAAGGGAGCGUAGAUGGGUUGUUAAGUCAGUUGUGAAAGUUUGCGGCUCAACCGUAAAAUUGCAAUUGAUACUGGCAGUCGUGAGUACAGUUGAGGUAGGCGGAAUUCGUGGUGUAGCGGUGAAAUGCUUAGAUAUCACGCAGAACCCCGAUUGCGAAGGCAGCUUACUAAACUGUGACUGACAUUGAUGCUCGAAAGUGUGGGUAUCAAACAGGAUUAGAUACCCGAGUAGUC